UAUCAUUUAUAAUACCAUAACUAAAGGUGUACAGCAUUUCUGUCCAUGUGGCCUCACACACAAAGUCAACAGUGAAAGGAAUGCUAUCCAUCUGACGAGAAAGCAGUGGACAGUACAGCAGACAAAGAUGUUUCACCUGGACAUGAAGGACCACUUGGUGUCACAGCUUUGGAUCAGCCAUCUGCAGCAGAGUCCCAGUCCACUUGGUCACACCACAAGUUGGAAAUUACAGCUACAGCUUAUUCAGUAA